rnacentral:siRNA from 1 species
CUAAUGCUCGACUAGAUUGCUUA